rnacentral:snRNA from 1 species
AUGCUUACUUGGCAGGAGCGCUACCAUGAUAUUGAUGGUGGUUUUCCCAGGGCGAGUCUUUUCCAUUGUACUCUGGAUGUGUUGAUCUCUGAGAAUUCCCCAAACGUGGGAAAUUCAACUGGAUAAUUUGGAGGACUGUGCUCAUGUUCUCCCA